rnacentral:rRNA from 1 species
GACGAACGCUGGCGGCGUGCCUAAUACAUGCAAGUCGAACGCUUCUUUCCUCCCGAGUGCUUGCACUCAAUUGGAAAGAGGAGUGGCGGACGGGUGAGUAACACGUGGGUAACCUACCCAUCAGAGGGGGAUAACACUUGGAAACAGGUGCUAAUACCGCAUAACAGUUUAUGCCGCAUGGCAUAAGAGUGAAAGGCGCUUUCGGGUGUCGCUGAUGGAUGGACCCGCGGUGCAUUAGCUAGUUGGUGAGGUAACGGCUCACCAAGGCCACGAUGCAUAGCCGACCUGAGAGGGUGAUCGGCCACACUGGGACUGAGACACGGCCCAGACUCCUACGGGAGGCAGCAGUAGGGAAUCUUCGGCGAUGGACGAAAGUCUGACCGAGCAACGCCGCGUGAGUGAAGAAGGUUUUCGGAUCGUAAAACUCUGUUGUUAGAGAAGAACAAGGACGUUAGUAACUGAACGUCCCCUGACGGUAUCUAACCAGAAAGCCACGGCUAACUACGUG